UACGUAGGGGGCAAGCGUUGUCCGGAUUCAUUGGGCGUAAAGAGCGUGUAGGCGGCCAAGCAGGUCCGUUGUGAAAACUGGAGGCUUAACCUCCAGACGUCGACGGAAACCGCGUGGCUAGAGUCCGGAAGAGGAGAGUGGAAUUCCUGGUGUAGCGGUGAAAUGCGCAGAUAUCAGGAAGAACACCAAUGGCGAAGGCAGCUCUCUGGGACGGUACUGACGCUGAGACGCGAAAGCGUGGGGAGCGAACAGG
rnacentral:rRNA from 1 species